GUGCACAAAUCUGUAUAAAUUAAAAUAAUAUCUAAAUUAUAACUAACACAAUAUGUGAUUGCCUAAUAUCCUUUAAUAGAAUAUUUAGCAUAUUUAACACCCACGCUCAAGUUGGUGCAUGGAUAUCACACAUUCCCAACUUGAAUAGAGACUCAUUAAACAAUCUUCUUGACACUCCUUUGGUGAGAACAUUAGCCAACUGUAACUCUGAUCUUAUAAAAGGAAAGAAAAUUAUU
rnacentral:lncRNA from 1 species